CCUAAGUCUUCCCUGUUCCGUCCUAGCUAUGGUGGUAGGCGGGGUCAGAGACAGAGGAUGAGAAACGAUGGUGAAGGUGGUGGCCACGGUGGGAGGAUGAGAAUGACAGCAGCAGCAGUGCUCAUGAUGGUGGAGGUGACAGAGAUGGUGGUGGAGGUGGUGGAGAUGGUGGAGGUGACGGAGAUGGUGGAGGUGAUGGAGAUGGUGAUGGAGGUGACAGAGAUGGUGGAGGUGAUGGAGAUGGUG